GAUGAACGCUGGCGGCGUGCCUAAUACAUGCAAGUCGAGCGAACAGACGAGGAGCUUGCUCCUCUGACGUUAGCGGCGGACGGGUGAGUAACACGUGGAUAACCUACCUCUAUGACUGGGAUAACUUCGUGAAACCGGAGCUACUACCGGCUAAUAUAUUGUACCGCAUGGUUCAAUAGUGAAAGACGGUUUUGCUGUCACUUAUAGAUGGAUCCGCGCCGCAUUAGCUAGUUGGUAAGGUAACGGCUUACCAAGGCAACGAUGCGUAGCCGACCUGAGAGGGUGAUCGGCCACACUGGAACUGAGACACGGUCCAGACUCCUACGGGAGGCAGCAGUAGGGAAUCUUCCACAAUGGGCGAAAGCCUGACGGAGCAACGCCGCGUGAGUGAUGAAGGUCUUCGGAUCGUAAAACUCUGUUAUUAGGGAAGAACAAAUGUGUAAGUAACUAUGCACGUCUUGACGGUACCUAAUCAGAAAGCCACGGCUAACUACGUG
rnacentral:rRNA from 1 species